rnacentral:rRNA from 1 species
GAUCAUGGCUCAGGAUGAACGCUAGCUACAGGCUUAACACAUGCAAGUCGAGGGGCAGCAUGGUCUUAGCUUGCUAAGGCUGAUGGCGACCGGCGCACGGGUGAGUAACACGUAUCCAACCGUGCCGUCUACUCUUGGCCAGCCUUCUGAAAGGAAGAUUAAUCCAGGAUGGGAUCAUGAGUUCACAUGUCCGCAUGAUUAAAGGUAUUUUCUGGUAGACGAG